CAACUUUUGACGGUGG
rnacentral:rRNA from 1 species